CAUGGCUCAGGAUGAACGUUGGCGGUGUGCCUAAUACAUGCAAGUCGAACGGAGUUAAUAGCAAUAUUGACUUAGUGGCGAACGGGUGAGUAACGCGUUGGUGAUCUGCCUCAAAGUGUGGAAUAACGUUCCGAAAGGAACGCUAAUACCGCAUGUGCUCUCGAUUUUUAGAAAGUUGAGAGUAAAGGAUUUAUUCGCUUUGAGAGGAGCCUGCGUCCCAUCAGCUAGUUGGUAGGGUAAUAGCCUACCAAGGCUUUGACGGGUAGGGGACCUGAGAGGGUGGCCCCCCACAAUGGAACUGAAACACGGUCCAUACACCUACGGGUGGCAGCAGUAGGGAAUAUUAGAAAUGGACGAAAGUCUGAUCUAGCGACACCGCGUGUGCGAUGAAGGCCUUCGGGUUGUAAAGCUCUUUCAGUCGGGAAGAAACGGAGCGCUCUAACAUAGCGCUCUACUGACGGUACCGACAGAAGAAGCACCGGCUAACUACGU
rnacentral:rRNA from 1 species